rnacentral:rRNA from 1 species
AUUGAACGCUGGCGGCAUGCCUUACACAUGCAAGUCGAACGGCAGCACGGGUGCUUGCACCUGGUGGCGAGUGGCGAACGGGUGAGUAAUACAUCGGAACGUACCUUAUCGUGGGGGAUAACGCAGCGAAAGCUGUGCUAAUACCGCAUACGCCCUGAGGGGGAAGGCGGGGAAUCGAAAGACCUCGCGCGAUUAGAGCGGCCGAUGCCUGAUUAGCUUGUUGGUGGGGUAAAAGCCCACCAAGGCGACGAUCAGUAGCUGGACUGAGAGGACGAUCAGCCACACUGGGACUGAGACACGGCCCAGACUCCUACGGGAGGCAGCAGUGGGGAAUUUUGGACAAUGGGGGCAACCCUGAUCCAGCAAUGCCGCGUGAGUGAAGAAGGCCUUCGGGUUGUAAAGCUCUUUUGUCAGGGAAGAAACACCGGCUCUAACACAGUCCGGGAAUGACGGUACCUGAAGAAUAAGCACCGGCUAACUACGUGCCAGCCGCCGCCGUAA